rnacentral:tRNA from 2 species
GGGCGUUAGCUCAGUUGGUAGAGCAGUUGACUUUUAAUCAAUUGGUCGCAGGUUCGAAUCCUGCACGACCCACCA